rnacentral:lncRNA from 1 species
GAAUAUUUUCUAAGCAUAAACCAAAAUGUAAAAAGGGUCUAAUUGCAAAAUCUGAUUUCUUGAAGCUACCCUAAUGUCUUGCCUAUAAAAAUACCUUUACUUGGCAUUCAAUGGAGAUUUGAAGAGAAGAAAAUAUCUUGAAAACUAAAAUCACUGUUUUUUUUUUGUUUGAAGAAUUCUUAAAUAAUCUCAAAUUCUCUUCAGUUUCUUUGGGAAAACUAUUGAAAUUAUGCUGGGUUAUGUUCUUCUCAUCUUCAGACUUUAAUUCAAAUCGUUUGAAAUAUUAUAGUUUGUCAUUCUGGGAUUGAAAUGGAUUGAAUUAGGAUUUUGAAAGUUCUGGUUCAAGUUUUGUUGUUGGUUUAUUGUUCUAUUGAACUUCUUGAGCUGGUUUCAUUGUUUUACUGGUUAAAUCUUGGCUGACUGAUGCCAUUGCUUAUUGCUAAUCCCACAUUUUCUUUUGGUUUUGUUUUCCUUGUUCAUUACCAGGUAACAUCUCAAACUGUGGACAACAAUUUGGUUGCAAGAAUGUAUUUUGAGUUGAAAGUUGAUUGAAUCCAAGUUGUAGUUAAAUUUAUCUCUUCUAUUUCCUCUUUUCCUUCAACAUUCUAU